AGACGUCAGAGACGAGAGAGACGAUACUGGCAUUCCGAUAAACACAGUGGUAGUAAACGAGAGUGCCGCAGAUGAUGAGUAUGAAGGGUACGGGACCACGCAAAUCCUUCUUCCUCCUAGGGUUUAUUGUCCUUCGAAUCUCCUCAUUAGCGUUCAAUUUUUCCAUGGUGCAGGUACUUUUUUGGUCUCUAAUGCCUCAAUUACAGUGGCGCUAGAUAUGGACGGGGGAUUUAUCGGUGAGUCAAUUCCGAACGCUGCGUCGUCUUCUCUAAGUUCUUCAAAAUCUGCUGGCUUAAUUGAGAUUAUUAUUGACAUAUUUUAUUCCAAAUGUUGUAUUCAAAGAGAAGCUUCUGAAGAAAACUGUCCAUGUCCAUUUCAUAACAGUUUCCAACAAAAAUAUUUCAAACAAAUUGAAACGGAG
rnacentral:lncRNA from 1 species